UACGUAGGGUGCGAGCGUUAAUCGGAAUUACUGGGCGUAAAGCGUGCGCAGGCGGUUUUGUAAGACAGGCGUGAAAUCCCCGGGCUCAACCUGGGAAUGGCGCUUGUGACUGCAAAGCUAGAGUGCGGCAGAGGGGGGAUGGAAUUCCGCGUGUAGCAGUGAAAAUGCGUAGAUAUGCGGAGGAACACCGAUGGCGAAGGCAAUCCCCUGGGCCUGCACUGGACGUCAUGCACGAAAGCGUGGGGAGCAAACAG
rnacentral:rRNA from 1 species